GACGAACGCUGGCGGCGUGCUUAACACAUGCAAGUCGAACGGAAAGGCCCUGCUUUUGUGGGGUGCUCGAGUGGCGAACGGGGGAGUAAAACGUGAGUAACCUGCCCUUGACUGUGGGAUAACUUCAGGAAACAGGGGCUAAUACAGGAUAGGAGCUCCUGCUGCACGGGGGGGGUUGGAAAGUUUCGGCGGUUGGGGAUGGACUCGCGGGUUAUCAGCUUGUUGGUGGGGUAGUGGGUUACCAAGGCUUUGACGGGUAGCCGGCCUGAGAGGGGGACCGGCCACAUUGGGACUGAGAUACGGCCCAGACUCCUACGGGAGGCAGCAGUGGGGAAUAUUGCACAAUGGGCGGAAGCCAGUUGCAGCAAUGCCGCGUGCGGGAUGACGGCCUUCGGGUUGUAAACCGCUUUCGCCUGUGACGAAGCGUGAGUGACGGUAAUUGGUAAAGAAGCACCGGCUAACUACGUG
rnacentral:rRNA from 1 species